GAGGGGGAACAAAGGCUGCCUGUGCAUAGGGUUGGGCUGCAAGGAGGUGGGUGCCUCUCUCCGCAGGAUCUGUUGGAAAUGGAAUUUGCAUUUAGGAAGAAAUGGAUGCCUCUGAGAAGCAUUAUUUUUAAGGCAUGGAGACGGAUGAGUUGGUGUGAAAGGAAACUCUUAAAGAGAGAGGGGGUUGCAGUUGCAUACAGCAGCAUCGGGUGUUCGGAUCCAGGAGCAAUAACAACAGGUUGAACUGAGUGUGGAGGGGUUUCUCCCCUUGCUUCUCACCCCUACAAAAUAAUCAGCACCUUAGUGGGGAGAAUGGAGAAACAAUUCACAAUGGGUCACUUUGAAAUUGGUCUGCAAUGGCACACACCCUGGAUCUUGUAAGCACCUAAAACAAAAGGCUAGAGACUCGGAAGACAAGGCUGGAUGCUGGAUUCACUUCUCACUUUGUGCUCUGGAUUUUGUUGGAAAACUUGGAUAAGGAUUUGAGAUGACAUUAAAGAAAAUGCAUCUUUCUCCUGCAGCAUCAGUUGUAAGACAGAAAUUUCAGCCUGAAGACUUUUAAGAAGUUCACUCCUUUCAGAUCUGUGCUGUAAUGGGUCCUUAAAGUAAUGCUGAGAAUGUAUUCAGAAAUAAAAUAAGUAAAAGGAUUUGGAAGACUCAGAAGCCUCCCAAGUAAAAGGAUUUUGGAGGUUUGGGUAUUACUCUUUGAAAAAAGGAAAGGAAGGAGAAAUGGAAUCAAUUUACUUUGAGUACAGCUGUGGUCAGUAGCGGUCUGGAGUUGGAUUUUUUUUUUUUGAGUAGAUUAGUAAUUAAAUACCACACUGUCUUGGUCUCUUGCAAAUAUCAGACUUAAUCCACUGCUACCAGAGAUUUUCAGCUGUCCACACUAGAGCGAAUAAGGGUUUGACCACAUGUCUAAAAUGCCAUCUCUCUGAAGGUCUCUUAAAAUGUCCGUUGACUAUAUAUAUUAGUGGGAAGAAGACAUGGGCUUAAUUUGUAUUAUUCCUGCUUGUCCAAGUGCCACUCCAAUUUCUUUCCUCUGUUUCUGCUCCCCGCCUGAUCUGCUGUGCACCAUACACAGAGGUUGGCCCUUCCUCAUUCACAAAUGCUAGAACUAAAUUGAGAAUCUGGAAUUGAGAUCAACUAACAGUAGUUGAGUUACCUUGCAUCCAGAAUUUAAUCUGGAAAGUCCACUUCUUAUAUGGUGUGGGGGUUCACUUUUUUUUUCCCAGUCGACAUUUAUUUUGGGUUAGGUUGAUGUUUUCACAUUUGUUUGAAGGAAUUUGGUUUUCUUUUCACACCAUAAAAAAA